CAGGCAGAACCCGAAAAGCCUAAAGAGUAGGGA
rfam:Chryseobacterium sp. Hurlburt 01 HurlbutContig3, whole genome shotgun sequence.